UAUGUGUGAGGAGUUGAGAUCCUCCGCGGUGGAAACAAGGAAACACUUGCGCCUGAUCUUCAA
rnacentral:sRNA from 1 species